UACGUAGGGUGCGAGCGUUGUCCGGAAUUACUGGGCGUAAAGAGCUCGUAGGUGGUUUGUCGCGUUGUUCGUGAAAACUCACAGCUCAACUGUGGGCGUGCGGGCGAUACGGGCAGACUGGAGUACUGCAGGGGAGACUGGAAGUUCCUGGUGUAGCGGUGGAAUGCGCAGAUAUCAGGAGGAACACCGGUGGCGAAGGCGGGUCUCGUGGGCAGUGAACUGACGCUGAGGAGCGAAAGCGUGGGGAGCAAACAGG
rnacentral:rRNA from 1 species